AGUUGAUUGUCUGACAAUUCCAAAUCAGUAACGGACCUUAACUUUCCAACUUCCCAAGGUAUAGAACUAGAAAGUCGAUUGGUAUAAAGAUAAAGUUUUGAUACCUUCGUCAAGUUCCCUAUAGAAGCUGGGAUUGCACCGGUGAGUUGAUUGUCUGACAAUGCCAAAUCAGUAAGGCACCUCAACAUUCCAAUUUCCCAAGGUAUGGAACCAGAAAGUCGAUUGGCAUGAAGAUAAAGAGUUGAUACCUUCGUCAAAUUUCCUAUGGAAGUUGGGAUUAAACUAGAGAAAUUAUUGUAUGACAAUGAAAGGAUACUGAGAAAUGUCAAAGUUCCAAGUUGAUGAGGUAUGGGA